AGCGGCGGACGGGUGAGUAACACGUGGGUAACCUGCCCAAGAGACUGGGAUAACACCUGGAAACAGAUGCUAAUACCGGAUAACAACACUAGACGCAUGUCUAGAGUUUGAAAGAUGGUUCUGCUAUCACUCUUGGAUGGACCUGCGGUGCAUUAGCUAGUUGGUAAGGUAACGGCUUACCAAGGCAAUGAUGCAUAGCCGAGUUGAGAGACUGAUCGGCCACAUUGGGACUGAGACACGGCCCAAACUCCUACGGGAGGCAGCAGUAGGGAAUCUUCCACAAUGGACGAAAGUCUGAUGGAGCAACGCCGCGUGAGUGAAGAAGGGUUUCGGCUCGUAAAGCUCUGUUGGUAGUGAAGAAAGAUAGAGGUAGUAACUGGCCUUUAUUUGACGGUAAUUACUUAGAAAGUCACGGCUAACUACGUGCCAGCAGCCGCGGUAAUACGUAGGUGGCAAGCGUUGUCCGGAUUUAUUGGGCGUAAAGCGAGUGCAGGCGGUUCAAUAAGUCUGAUGUGAAAGCCUUCGGCUCAACCGGAGAAUUGCAUCGGAAACUGUUGAACUUGAGUGCAGAAGAGGAGAGUGGAACUCCAUGUGUAGCGGUGGAAUGCGUAGAUAUAUGGAAGAACACCAGUGGCGAAAGGCGGCUCUCUGGUCUGCAACUGACGCUGAGGCUCGAAAGCAUGGGUAGCGAACAGGAUUAGAUACCCUGGUAGUCCAUGCCGUAAACGAUGAGUGCUAAGUGU
rnacentral:rRNA from 1 species